GUAGGUGGCAAGCGUUGUCCGGAAUUAUUGGGCGUAAAGCGCGCGCAGGUGGUUCUUUAAGUCUGAUGUGAAAGCCCCCGGGCUCAACCGGGGAGGGUCAUUGGAAACUGGGGAACUUGAGUGCAGGAGAGGAAAGUGGAAUCCACGUGUAGCGGUGAAAUGCGUAGAUAUGUGGAGGAACACCAGUGGCGAAGGCGACUUUCUGGCCUGUAACUGACACUGAGGCGCGAAAGCGUGGGGAGCAAACAGGAUUAGAUACCCUGGUAGUCCACGCCGUAAACGAUGAGUGCUAAGUGUUGGGGGGUUUCCGCCCCUCAGUGCUGCAGCUAACGCAUUAAGCACUCCGCCUGGGGAGUACGGUCGCAAAGACUG
rnacentral:rRNA from 1 species